rnacentral:rRNA from 1 species
UACGGGGGGGAGCAAGCGUUGUUCGGAUUUACUGGGCGUAAAGAGCGUGUAGGCGGCCCGGUAAGUCCGCUGUGAAAGUCGGGGGCUCAACCCUCGAAAGCCGGUGGAUACUGUCGGGCUAGAGUGCGGAAGAGGCGAGUGGAAUUCCUGGUGUAGCGGUGAAAUGCGUAGAUAUCAGGAGGAACACCGGUGGCGAAGGCGGGUCUCUGGGCAGUAACUGACGCUGAGGAGCGAAAGCGUGGGGAGCGAACAGG